CCUCUCUAUAAAAAAUCAAUAAAAUAAAAUUAAAAAACAAGUAAGCUUUGGGAAACAGCUCAACUUUUCCUACGAGCGCCCAGGACCACAGUCAGAUCCAAACUUCCCCGUGUGCCAUGACUUCUGCACCUCCACCAUCCUGACACCCGUCUAUGGGCAAGGACCAGGCGACAGGGGCUCCCAAGAAAAAAACAACAAAAAAGAAAAAAA